rnacentral:lncRNA from 1 species
AUAUACACAUGUAUAUGUAGUAUAUUAAUGUGUCAAUAUUAGCAUUACAUAUAAAUAGACAAAUAUCUCAAAAGAUAGAUUGACUUAUAUACCCAAUGUAUAAGGAUUAAGGACCUAAAGUAUAAGGAAUUAGAUAUAAAUAAAAUAUAGAUACAUCAAAAUCAUAUAGCUACAGAAAGGUUAAAAGUAAAAUAAUGGGGGCUGGGGAUGUGGCUCAAGUGGUAGCGCGCUUACCUGGCAUGCGUGCGGCCCGGGUUCAAACCUCAGCACCACAUACAAAAAGAUAUUGUGUCCGCCGAAAACUAAAAAAAAUUAAAAUAAUGGAAAAAGAUAUGCCACAUGCAACACUAAUUUAUAAAAGGCUAUAGGAAUACCUGAAAAAAAAGGAUUUUAAAGAAAAAAUGUAUAUAUCACUAGACAUAAAGAAGGACAUUUAUAUAAACAUACAAAAAUUGUGUAUGUGAUUUUUCACCAUCUCUGGACCAUUGAAAAUGAUGUGAAACACUAGAUAAGUAGCAACUCAUGGCUUUAAAAAUGUUUUUGAGGAGUAAAGAAUAAUUAAAGAACUUAGAGAAACACUCGGAAAUCAAGGAGAACUGAUAAAUUCUCCAAGGCCAAUGCCAAAGAACAAGACAACCUAGCAAACUGUGGUCAUUAUAAGUUAAAAUAUGUAAAUCAGUUAAUUUCUAAAUAAUAUAUGAAGUAAACACUUAAAAUAUCAAGAAAGACUCAGCUCAAGAAGUAGCAGUAAUAGAUGUUAAAACAAAAAUCAUGCUGAACUAGAAAAAACCAACCCCUUGAUCUGAGAAUUGACACUCAAUUUUGUUCCCUGACUUGAUAUUAAACAUUGAUGUACACCUUAAAAAUGUCAGCAGGGGAAAACAAUAAUUAUUAUAUGUAUAUCAUUAUAUUUACACUUUAUUUUGUCUACUGAUUUUGAAAAAUUCCUUUAUAACUUGUCAUAGUGCAGUCCACAGUUCUAAUUUUGAAGAUUUAUUAUAGUGUAGUUUGGCCUUGGAAUCUAAUGAAUUUACAUAAAUUCUUUGGGAAUCUAAUCUGUAAAUCAGGAAGAUACUUAUCUGCAGAGAUUACUCAUUCCUUGGACAAAUCAGACAAACUUGUCAGCAUGUAUUGGCUGCAAACAUCAUAUGUAACACUAGAGGGUGGUACUAUAUAAACAAAAGAAAGGAACGCAGCCUGCUGAGAAUUAAGUGGAAGGUUUAGAGGAUUCAUCUCAAGGACAUAUACGAAAGGUUAAAAGCAUGUGUAAAAUUACAGUUUAGUAAAUUCAUAGUUCCUUUUAAAUUCCUAUAAUGUUAUAAUGUGGUCAAGCUGACUAAGGUAAAGAAAAAAGGAGACUAAAGAAAGAAAGACUUCUGGAACAAAUUUUCCAUAGAUGAAUAAUUAAGAUGAAUUAGGGCAUAUUUUCUAGGAUCAGCUUGGUAGAAGAGAAAAAUGCUAACAGUGUUUUCAUUUUGUUGAUAAUGUUAAAAAUUA